rnacentral:rRNA from 1 species
UGAGGAAUAUUGGUCAAUGGGCGGGAGCCUGAACCAGCCAAGCCGCGUGGAGGAAGAAGGUACAGAGUAUCGUAAACUCCUUUUGUCAGGGGAUAAAAGGCGCCACGAGUGGCGUUCUCAAGGUACCUGAAGAAAAAGCAUCGGCUAACUCCGUGCCAGCAGCCGCGGUAAUACGGAGGAUGCGAGCGUUAUCCGGAUUUAUUGGGUUUAAAGGGUGCGUAGGCGGUCUUUUAAGUCAGCGGUGAAAGCCCGGGGCUCAACCCCGGCGAGCCGUUGAUACUGGGAUACUGGAGAGGAAGAGAGGCAUGCGGAAUUCGCGGUGUAGCGGUGGAAUGCUUAGAUAUCGCGAAGAACUCCGAUUGCGAAGGCAGCAUGCUGGCUUCUGUCUGACGCUGAGGCACGAAAGCGUGGGGAUCGAACAGGAUUAGAUACC